rnacentral:rRNA from 1 species
AUGUGGACGCUGCUCCAUGCCGCUCCACCUCUACUACAAGUCCGGCAACUCCGGCACCGAGCCCUACAUCGUCGCCCACGACUUGGUGACGGCCGGUUUGGACGAGGCGGGGAUCAAGCACCUUGGAGACCGCGUGGCUGGGGAGGAAGAUGCAGCAGCCAUGGCCGAUGGCAAACCAGACGACGAGGGGAAAGGAGGGGAGGCGAGGACUUACCACCAGAGAGAAGUCCAGUACGUCGGUGGAGGUACACCGGCGUCGAGGCGUCGGGCGACGACAUCCUGGGGAGGCGCCGGGCGGCGGAGUCUUGGAGAGGAGUCGGGCGGCGGCGACGUCUUCACGAGUCGAGUAGCGACAUCUCCUAA